rnacentral:rRNA from 1 species
GAUGAACGCUGGCGGCGUGCCUAAUACAUGCAAGUCGAGCGGAAAGGCCCUUCGGGGUACUCGAGCGGCGGACGGCUGAGUAACGCGUAGGAACGUACCCCAAAGUGAGGGAUAACUGCUCGAAAGAGUAGCUAAUACCGCAUGUGCUCUUCGGAGUAAAGCUUCGGCGCUUUGGGAACGGCCUGCGUCCUAUUAGCUAGUUGGUGAGGUAAUUGCUCACCAAGGCGACGAUAGGUAGCUGGUCUGAGAGGAUGAUCAGCCAGACUGGGACUGAGACACGGCCCAGACUCCUACGGGAGGCAGCAGUAGGGAAUUUUCCACAAUGGGCGAAAGCCUGAUGGAGCAACGCCGCGUGCAGGAUGAAUGCCUUCGGGUUGUAAACUGCUUUUAUAGGUGAAGAAUAUGACGGUAACCUAUGAAUAAGGAUCGGCUAACUCCGUGCCAGCAGCCGCCGCGG